UCCCUCUCAGGAUGGCACCUGGAGAGUUUCCAGUACUCUACCAGUCUCGGCUACAGGAGGGAGAGUCAAGCAGAGGCCUACCCAUUCCAUUCUUAGCUUGGCCAUUGGCUAGGGAGUGGAGGGCAAUCUGCUACAAGU
rnacentral:snoRNA from 2 species